UGGGGUAUAGCCAAGCGGUAAGGCAAUGGAUUUUGAUUCCAUCAUGCCCAGGUUCGAAUCCUGGUACCCCAGCCA
rnacentral:tRNA from 1 species